GGUGGAGGACAGGGAGUGAAAGAGAGAGAGAGCGUGAGAGAUUGAUUGAGCGGGAGCGAGAGAAACUAGUACACGAGAGGGACUACUGGAUGUGUCGUAGCGAGUGUGUGUGCGACUGUGUUGCGUCUAAUUUUUUCGACUUUCCGAGGCGAAACCAUGCGAUCUAAGGUUGUCUUCCGUGCGUCGUGUUCGUGAUUUUAAUAUCAACAACAGAUUACGCGGUGUUUUCCACAUGGUGCCGACCAACCCGAGGCCGUGGAGAGAAAUCAAGGGCCCCAGAGACAAAUUAAUCCAGGCGCUUCUCACACGACGUAUUAAACUUACCAUUGCAUCCAGCGUCUUCUUUUAAAAUGUGUAUAUCAAAGAGAUAAUGUAAUCGCAGUUAUGAUUAUUCCACAGAUUAAAUGAAAAUAAUUAUUUAUA